AGAUAGCUUGUCUAAGGGCUUGGCCUUUUAGUUUAUAAAAAUGUUGAAUUGCAAACUCAA
rnacentral:tRNA from 1 species